rnacentral:rRNA from 1 species
UGUCUUUUUGAAAAUAAUAUAAAGUCUAAUCUGCCCACUGAUUUAAUAUUAAAGGGCUGCAGUAUAUUGACUGUACAAAGGUAGCAUAAUCAUUAGUCAUUUAAUUGAUGACUUGUAUGAAGGAUUGGAUGAAAUAUAAACUGUCUCUUAAUUAUAUUUAGAAUUUAAUUUUUUAAUUAAAAAGUUAAAAUGAAUUAAAAAGACGAGAAGACCCUAUAGAGUUUUAUAAUUAAAUUAAUUGAGAUUUUUUGUAAGAUUAAAAUUAAAAUUAAUUUAUUUAUUUUGUUGGGGUGACAGAAAAAUAUGUAGAACUUUUUUUAUAAUAUUACAUAAAUAAGUGGUUAAAUGAUCCAAUAUUAUUGAUUAUAAGAAAAAAUUACCUUAGGGAUAACAGCGUAAUUUUUUUUUUUAGUUCAUAUAAAAAAAAAAGUUUGCGACCUCGAUGUUGGAUUAAGAUAAAAUUUAAAUGCAGAAG